rnacentral:rRNA from 1 species
AUUACUAAGCGGAGGAAAAGAAACUAACCAGGAUUCCCUCAGUAGCGGCGAGCGAAGAGGGAAGAGCCCAGCGCCGAAUCNCCUGGCCAGCGGUUGGUCACGGGAAAUGUGGCGUAUAGGAGUUCGUUAUUCCGGUGUCGAUCGGGGGCCUAAGUCCUAGUGAAAGGGGCUUCUCCCAGAGAAGGUGGCAGGCCGGUGAGGCCCUGUCGCGCCGGGACUCGGACUCCUUUGAGUAGGGUUGCUUGUGAAUGCAAUCCGAAGUGGGUGGUAAACUCCAUCCAAGGCUAAAUACUGGGGGCAAGACCGAUAGACAACAAGU